GUGAUUAUAUCAAUACCAAUACACCAGAUUCCAUUAGAACUCCACAAUUAAAUGGUAUUGGGUGAGAGUAGUACUAAAAUAUGUGACCCUCUUAGAUGUCAUCGUA